UGUACGCGCACUGUAGAGUCGAAUUCAGACCCCAAAACAAGUAAGGACCCCUCAUCCUAUUUCCUAUCACGGUAUUAAAGCUAAAUAAAUAAUUAAACUGUACUGUGUGACCUUAUAGAUGCAUAAUUGAUUAAGGUUGCCAGUGGAGCCCGAGUCUGAUACAGUGUUGGUCUGUUAUUGUUCGAUUUAAUUUCCAGUAUUAAAUGCAGCAUGAUGUUUGAUGUAAUUAUGUUAUGGUCUCGUAUGCAUGAACUAUGGUUCCUUUUAUUAUGGUUUGUAUUAUGGUAAACCCGGUACUGUAUUGUCUUAUUUGGUGUCAAUUACUGGUUUACAUGUUUUG
rnacentral:lncRNA from 1 species